rnacentral:tRNA from 1 species
AUUUAAAUAGUUUAAUUAAAAUGUUGACUUGUGGUGUCAAAGAUGUAAUUGAUUACUUUAAAUU